rnacentral:snRNA from 1 species
GGAUGUGAGGGCGAUCUGGCUGCGACAUCUGUCACCCCAUUGAUCGCCAGGGUUGAUUCGGCUGAUCUGGCUGGCUAGGCGGGUAUCCCCCUCCUCCCUCACCGCUCCAUGUGCGUCCCUCCCGAAGCUGCGCACUCGGUUGAAGAGGACGACCUUCCCUGAUAGAGGAGAGGACCGUUUUUCGGUCAAGGGUAUACGAGUAGCUACGCUCCCCUGCUAGAACCUCCAAACAAGAAAGUUGGAGAAUGUAGCCUAUUGGCUUUUAUAUUGCUAGCAACUAUUACAGAACUUAUUACAAAUUUUCUUUUUUAU